UGGGGAAUAUUGGACAAUGGAGGAAACUCUGAUCCAGCAAUUCUGUGUGUGUGAAGAAGGUUUUAGGAAUGUAAAACACUUUUAGUAGGGAAGAAAAAAAUGACGGUACCUACAGAAGAAGCAACGGCUAAAUACGUGCCAGCAGCCGCGGUAAUACGUAUGUUGCGAGCGUUAUCCGGAAUUAUUGGGCUUAAAGGGAAUCUAGGCGGUAAGACAAGUUGAAGGUGAAAACCUGUGGCUCAACCAUAGGCUUGCCUACAAAACUGUUGAACUAGAGUAAUGGAAAGGUGGGUGGAACUACACGAGUAGAGGUGAAAUUCGUAGAUAUGUGUAGGAAUGCCGAUGAUGAAGAUAGCUCACUGGACAGAAACGGACGCUGAAGUGCGAAAACUAGGGGAGCAAACAGG
rnacentral:rRNA from 1 species